rnacentral:rRNA from 1 species
GUAUAAAAUUUGGUGAUUUACAAUAACUUAGCAAAUCGCAUAGUGAAAACUGGCGAUAAAUCAUUCAAGUUUCUGACCUAUCAGCUUUCGACGGUAUGGUAUUGGCUUACCGUGGCAGUGACGGUUAACGGGGGAUUAGGGUUCGAUUCCGGAGAGGGAGCCUGAGAAACGGCUACCACAUCUAAGGAAGGCAGCAGGCGCGCAAAUUACCCAAUUCUAACAGCAUGAGAGAGGUAGUGACAAGAAAUAACAAUACAAGGCAGUUAAAAUGCUUUGUAAUUGGAAUGAUAGAAAUUUAAACACUUUUUAAAGUAUCAAUUGGAGGGCAAGUCUGGUGCCAGCAGCCGCGGUAAUUCCAGCUCCAAUAGCGUAUAUUAAAAUUGUUGCAGUUAAAAAGCUCGUAGUUGAAUUUCUGUUAAAAAUAACCGGUCUGCUUUUAAUAAAAGUGGUAUCUUGGUGUGUUUUUAGCAAUAAUGUCCUUUGAAAUGUUUUUUACUUUAUUGUAAUAGAUUAUAUUCAGGAUUUUUACUUUGAGAAAAUUA